UAGUUACAUNCUCCGUCCCAAAAUUCUUGUCUUAAAUUUGUCUAAAUACGGAUGUAUCUAGUUACAUUUUAGUGUUAGAUACAUCCAUAUCUAAACAAAUGUAAGACAAGAAUUUUGGGACGGAGGGAAUACUAC
rnacentral:pre_miRNA from 1 species